rnacentral:rRNA from 1 species
AUUGAACGCUGGCGGCAUGCCUUACACAUGCAAGUCGAACGGCAGCACGGGUGCUUGCACCUGGUGGCGAGUGGCGAACGGGUGAGUAAUACAUCGGAACGUACCUUAUCGUGGGGGAUAACGCAGCGAAGGCUGUGCUAAUACCGCAUACGCCCUGAGGGGGAAAGCGGGGGAUCGAAAGACCUCGCGCGAUUAGAGCGGCCGAUGCCUGAUUAGCUUGUUGAUGGGGUAAAAGCCAACCAAGGCGACGAUCAGUAGCUGGUCUGAGAGGACGAUCAGCCACACUGGGACUGAGACACGGCCCAGACUCCUACGGGAGGCAGCAGUGGGGAAUUUUGGACAAUGGGGGCAACCCUGAUCCAGCAAUGCCGCGUGAGUGAAGAAGGCCUUCGGGUUGUAAAGCUCUUUUGUCAGGGAAGAAACACCGGCUCUAACACAGUCCGGGAAUGACGGUACCUGAAGAAUAAGCACCGGCUAACUACGUGCCAGCCGCCGCCGUAA